GAUGAACGCUGGCGGCGUGCUUAACACAUGCAAGUCGAGCGAGGGAGCACCUUCGGGUGUGAACUAGCGGCGGACGGGUGAGUAACACGUGGGCAACCUGCCUUACAGAGGGGGAUAGCCUUCCGAAAGGAAGAUUAAUACCGCAUAUUAUGAUUUUUCUUGCAUGGGAAAGUCAUGAAAGGAGCAAUCCGCUGUAAGAUGGGCCCGCGGCGCAUUAGCUAGUUGGUGAGGUAAGGGCUCACCAAGGCGACGAUGCGUAGCCGACCUGAGAGGGUGAUCGGCCACAUUGGGACUGAGACACGGCCCAG
rnacentral:rRNA from 1 species